UCUUUUUCUGCUGAAUCACUAAAAUUGAUUGUAAAAAAGGGAAUUAGACUAGUGUGAGAGCAUCUGUUCUGGGCAAACUUAUACUAUCUUCUUCAUCAUGGAAUUUCUUCUAGAAUAUCCAUUGAGAUAAGAAUUAAUCUAUAGCUUUGGAUCUGCUUUCCUUAGACACAAUUUGUCUUUUCCUAGUCUCCUUGAACCCAUGUAAGUCCUUUAGCAACUCAGAGAUAAUUUUUGCUAUAUUAUUAAGUAAAUUUCUUCAGGCCCUAUUAACCUGAAUAUAUACAAUUUAAAUAGCUUUUAACUCAUUCCUUCUGUAAAUUCUGUGGUAAGAUAAAUUUAACUAAGUAUUUAGGCACUUCUAUUUCCAGAACAUUUUCUUGUUGACCUUUAUACCCUUUUUUACCUAUUGCUCAUUUUGUACUGUAGGCUUUAUGAUUUUAUUCUUUUAUGCAAAUUCUUUUAUGUUACUUUUCAGUUAUGUCCCCUUAUUGUGACUUCUUUUUUUUGCAAAUCCUUGAAGAGCUCUUAACGUGAUGUUAGCACAGUCUACUUACGCUUCCCAGCUUCCUUUUGUUCACAUCUAUAUAGCUUGGUAUUGUACGUUUAAUUAAAAAUGAGUCUGUUCUCUGCAGAAAAUCUACGUUAGCUUUAAAUGAGCUCAGGCCUAAACCAGAAAGGAGAUUAAUUAACUCGUCCAAAAUGGCAUGCUGUUAUGAUGAGCCUGCUUUUAGUACCUAGACUAGCUUCAUUAAAGUUAGCUUAACUGUUUCUACAUAACAAUGCAAUCCAUAGUUGGCAGUGCAGGCAUGCUUUUUCUUCCUCUUAGAGUAGAGAAGCCUAUUUUGGUAAAAUGUGUCAUGAUCACUUUCACCCAGUUUACCUUCUGCCUUUAAAAAAAAAUGAGUUCCUCCCUACUGGUCAUGCAGUUCAACUUGGUAAUGCCUCUCAUAACUUCCUCUGUCCUGUGAAGCAAAAGAUCAUCCUUAAAAUACUACAAGUAUUUGAUAGACCUUUUAUGUCCUGCCAUAUCAUUUUUCUAACUGGCACUUAAGUAAUUGAAAUUCACUAUUGUCUUAUGGGCAAGAUUUUUGAAUAUGAAUACCUUUAUGCUCAGAAUAAGUCAGAAAAAUUGACUUCCUCCUUUUGAAUACAGCUAUAGCCUGUUACAUAAAAUAGACCCCAAUCAUGGCAUACUUUUACUUCCUCCUGUUAAUUUUCACCAAAAACAGUAUCUCUUGUCUCUUCCUGGAUACAGUACAGUAUGAAUCAUCCUCCCCUGAUUUUCUCUGCCCAUUUUCAUUAGCAUUCUUGUAUUCUGCUGUCACUGGUAUGUACCAUGGUAUCUCUGGGAUGAUACAAACCCGACAUUUUUCCCCCUGUAGAUACAACUAGAUCCCUGUCAUUUGACUUCAAGUAUCCUAAGAUGUUUUUUAUUAUUUUGUUUUCUCUCUUAAUGCCUAGUUCUUUAUUCUCUCUUCCUCUCUAAGAUUCCUUUUUUCUAGCUCUUUGUAACUGGCCUCUUUCAAAGUCCCUUUCUAACGUUGUUAAAAGGUCACCUCUCCAUGUCCUCAAAUGCUUUUUCCUGUCCUUGCUGAAUAGACGUAAUUUCUCUCCAAUAAUAUUAUGGAAAAACACCCUCUGGUCAAGUAGUUCAGACCCCCUGCCAAACCGUUCACAAAACUGGGAAUUAAAACCCAGUGCUUGUCAUGGAGCAGUCAGGACCCAAUCUUUCCCAUAGAGUUGUUAGUCUUUCUUCUGUCAAAGUGCUGUUAUAAAGAAUGUCAAUCUGUCUAGUUUCCUCCAUUCUAGAUUUGUGCCAGCGUUGUGCUAAUGAUGUCCUUGUCUUUGCUUGUAUUUUCCAGGAAGUACCUGCCCUGGCAGGUGGUGGUUUGCUUGAAUGAUGAACUGAGAUGCAAGACUAAACUGUUUCAUUUGCUUAGGAUUUCUGUUCCUGACAGAGCUAGCUUCUGCAUGUCAGAAAACAAAAUAAGGGUUUGUACACCCAGUUCAUGAUAUCCCUCAUUAAAAAACCCUCUGUCAGAGCCUAGGGAUACCAGCGUACAAUAAAAAUUGUUAAGAGUUUUCACCCAAGUGAGACCUCAUUUUAAAUUCUAUACAGCAAGGAUUUCAGCCAGGGAGGUGAGUGAAGUUCUUCAAAACAGAGGAGGCCUUGAUUUACCAAUGUAUGCAAGAAAUUUUGAAGAUAACCUUGAGAUUCCUACUAAAAAUGCCCUAGAAUUAGACCGCCAGAAGCCUGUGAAGCUAUUGCCCUGUACUUAUAUCAAAAGGAUAACAGGUCAGCUUUCAUUUGAUUGAGAAAAAUCUGAAACCAAAAACCCACAUAGAAGUGCUUUUUCACAUUUUUGGUCACUUGAUGGCACUAAACUAACACUAUACAUAUUAAUCACAAAUAGCAUAAGAAUACAUCUGUGCCAGUGUAUUUUUUUUUAAGGCUUGGCCUGAUGAAAGUGCUUUGUUUUGUUAGGGCAGAUUUCAGACAUAAAAGAGAUAUAAAAAAACCCAAACAUGAAGCCAAGAAGCAGUUGUGGAAUCUGUGUUCUGUCUGUCUUGUUAAAGUUCACAACAUACUACAAAUACCACAGCAUAAUGGAAUACAUAGCAUUUCUGAGCAAAACAAAACAUAACACACCAAAGACCAAACCAAGCCUUUCAGUAGCAAAUCUCAGAGAAAUAUCUGCAAACUUUGGAAAGUGUCAUUUCCACCAAAAUGUGUGGCCACCAGGAGGCCACCUACAUGAGGCAGAGCAAGUGGACAGCCUGGCCUUUCCUGUGUCUCUUUAUUUAGAGGGAAGUUGCUAGUAUUUCGAGGCUGAAUGUUGGGUUCAUUUUGUGAAUGCAGAGGUGAAGCAGGGGGAGCUUUGCUUGGAUGGUCUUAGUCAUGUAAUAGGAACCUCCUGGUGUGAUAGAUGGCUGAAGAAAGGACUGCAGUCCACUGUGUCUCCCCAUAAAGGCACCCUCUCAGGAGCUGUCCAUCAAAUAUCUGUAUUAUAUUUAUUUGCAGUUAGAAGUCUGAGAACUGAGAAAUCCUCAGCUAAAUGGAGCCUUUUCCACAACUUUUCAGGAUGUGAUCUGAGUACUAAAGGAACAUUUUUAUUUAUUUGUCAGAAGUUUCAAUCUUUCAAAAAAUUUUCCCCUCCUGAAAAAGGAGGAAAACAAAGAUUUUUGGAAAUUUUCACCAAUCAGCAAUCCAAAUGCUUUUGUUGGAUCAAAGAAUGUAUUUUAUUCCAAUGAUGCCUUUUCUCUGAAUGUUUUUAGCUUCUUUUUCAACAGGAAGUUACUUAGACUUCAAAACCUCCAAAAGUUUUGAAAGAUUUUUCACACCUUCCAAAGGCAACCACAAAGGAUAUUUCAGCAAGUUGAAAGGGCUGGGGGGGGGGUUCUUUUUGAAACAAGGGAUAACAUUCAAGCCUUUCCCAUAAAUAGGUUUUAAUGAAUCAGUCCACACAACAAUCUGUGGCACAAAAUGCCCAGACAGCUCUAGAAAUGAUGCUGCAGGUUGCAGCUGCUCUCCCCCUUCCUCACAGCUUUCCUGAAAGAGCUGUGGUGACUGACGGAGUAGUGCUUGCACAGAGGGACUUUCAUAGAAGUGAGUAUGGGAAACCCCAUGACAUCACAUGCACCUGUCCUAUCUUAUGGAGAAGGAAACAUGGUCAUUGUAUGUUAAGGCACUUCUGUUAAUUUUUACACUUUUAAGCCUUUUUUUUUUUU